rnacentral:rRNA from 1 species
CCUACGGGAGGCAGCAGUAAGGAAUAUUGGACAAUGGGCGAAAGCCUGAUCCAGCCAUGCCGCGUGAAGGAUUAAGGUCCUCUGGAUUGUAAACUUCUUUUAUGUGGGACGAAAAAAGGGCAUUCUUGCUCACUUGACGGUACCAUUUGAAUAAGCACCGGCUAACUCCGUGCCAGCAGCCGCGGUAAUACGGAGGGUGCAAGCGUUAUCCGGAUUCACUGGGUUUAAAGGGUGCGUAGGCGGGUAGGUAAGUCAGUGGUGAAAUCUCGAAGCUUAACUUCGAAACUGCCAUUGAUACUAUCUAUCUUGAAUAUUGUGGAGGUUUGCGGAAUAUGUCAUGUAGCGGUGAAAUGCUUAGAUAUGACAUAGAACACCGAUUGCGAAGGCAGCAGGCUACACAUAUAUUGACGCUGAGGCACGAAAGCGUGGGGAUCAAACAGGAUUAGAUACCCUGGUAGUCCACGCCCUAAACCGAUGAUUACUCGACAUACGCGAUACACUGUGUGUGUCUGNGNGAAGANAUAUAAUACACCNGGAGUACGUCGCGAGAGAGAACGACAANAGAGUUAGACGGACGUUGAGAGNGCGACGGACGACACGAGGGGAGGUUAGG